rnacentral:rRNA from 1 species
GACGAACGCUGGCGGCGUGCUUAACACAUGCAAGUCGAACGGAAAGGCGCUGCUUUUGCUGGGUGCUCGUGUGGCGCGCGGGUGUGUAACACGUGAGUAUCCUCCCCUUGACUUUGGGGUAACUUCAGGAAACUGGGGAUAAUACCGGAUAGGAGCUCCUGCUGCAUGGUGGGCGAUGGAAAGUUUCGGCGGUAGGGGAUGGACUCGCGGCUUAUGAGCUUGUUGGGGGGGUAGUUGCUUACCCAGUGUUUGACGGGUAGCCGGCCUGGGCGGGUGGCCGGCCACAUGGCGACUGAGAGACGCAGCAGACGCGUAUGGGAGGCAGUAGGGGGGAAUAUGGCACAACGAGCGGGAGUCUGAGGCGGAAACGCCCCGUGCGGGAAGACGUCCUUCGGGUUGUAAACCGCUUUCGCCUGUGACGAAGCGUGAGUGACGGUACUGGGUAAAGAAGCACCGGCUAACUACGUG